UACGUAGGGGGCAAGCGUUGUCCGGAAUUAUUGGGCGUAAAGCGCGCGCAGGCGGCCUUUUAAGUCUGAUGUGAAAGCCCCCGGCUCAACCGGGGAAGGUCAUUGGAAACUGAGAGGCUUGAGUACAGAAGAGGAAAGCGGAAUUCCACGUGUAGCGGUGAAAUGCUUAGAUAUGACACAGAACACCGAUUGCGUAGGCAGCUCACUAAACUGUAACUGACGCUGAGGCACGAAAGCGUGGGGAGCAAACAGG
rnacentral:rRNA from 1 species